GAGAAGGAAGAGGAUGUUGUACAUGGGCAGAAAGGUGAAAAUUGUGGCCAGAGGCAGAUUGUGCUACCAGGUAAAUAAGCCCAGGCUCUUGUGCUGGACGAUGCAAGGUCACUGGAACACUGAUGAGCCAUAACAGCUGAGGCCAUUCUAGAAUAGGUAGCUUUAGCCUACCAGGCUGCUGACUGCAGAUACAUGCCUGCAUCCAGAUGAGUCCAGAAAAGCAACCUAGACACCACUGUCAAAGCCAUUGAAAAGAAUCACACUGCUAAACCAGUAGCAGCUUUUGUCUUCUUCUCAGGUUGUAUACAUGCAGGGAAAAAGUGUUUCUAACACAUAGACUUCUAUAUUCCAGCAUAAAGAUGUAUUAGGUGCAUUUAUACUUUUACAUGGAAGCCUGUUUCAACAUGAAUGGAGCCCAGAUAUUUAUGUAGGCCAGUAAUUGGAGUGUAUUUUCCUGUUCAAUUUCACAUUGUCUAGAAAAGAGUUUCUCAUGAUCCAUGACUUUCUAGUUAGAUUCAAAAGAAAACAUCUUGCAGCUACUGCCCUAUUGCCAUGGCCACACAUCACUGCCUUCUAGACAUGGGAAGUUGGUGACAAUCCUAGUUAUACCCUGAUUUUGGACAAAUUUUACAAGAAGAAUAAGACUUCUACUUCUCUAUGUCCACAUGCACCUGGAACAGUGCUAGGCCUAUGCUUACAAAUUGAUUGGUUCAGGUCACCGCCAUGAGCCUCAGGACAGAAAAUUGCCGGAUAUGAGAGAGAGAGAGAUUUGACUGGGCUAAGAAAGAAAUGAACAUGAUUU
rnacentral:lncRNA from 1 species